rnacentral:piRNA from 1 species
AGAGGAGCCGGUGCUGCUAUUCUAGCUUGA